AUUGAACGCUGGCGGCAGGCUUAACACAUGCAAGUCGAGCGGAGAUGAGGUGCUUGCACCUUAUCUUAGCGGCGGACGGGUGAGUAAUGCUUAGGAAUCUGCCUAUUAGUGGGGGACAACAUUCCGAAAGGAAUGCUAAUACCGCAUACGUCCUACGGGAGAAAGCAGGGGAUCUUCGGACCUUGCGCUAAUAGAUGAGCCUAAGGCGGAUUAGCUAGUUGGUGGGGUAAGGGCCUACCAAGGCGACGAUCUGUAGCGGGUCUGAGAGGAUGAUCCGCCACACUGGGACUGAGACACGGCCCAGACUCCUACGGGAGGCAGCAGUGGGGAAUAUUGGACAAUGGGGGGAACCCUGAUCCAGCCAUGCCGCGUGUGUGAAGAAGGCCUUAUGGUUGUAAAGCACUUUAAGCGAGGAGGAGGCUACUGAGACUAAUACUCUUGGAUAGUGGACGUUACUUGCAGAAUAAGCACCGGCUAACUCUGUGCCAGCCGCCGCCGUAAGAC
rnacentral:rRNA from 1 species